rnacentral:rRNA from 1 species
CAUGCAAGUCGAACGGUAACUUUUGGUGCUUGCACCGAAAGACGAGUGGCGAACGGGUGCGUAACGCGUAUGCAAUCUACCUUUUACUAGGGUAUAGCCCGAAGAAAUUUGGAUUAAUCCCCUAUAAUAUCAUGAAUUCGCAUGAUUUUAUGAUUAAAGCUUCGGCGGUAAAAGAUGAGCAUGCGUCCUAUUAGUUAGUAGGUGAGGUAACGGCUCACCUAGACUACGAUAGGUAGGGGUCCUGAGAGGGAGAUCCCCCACACUGGUACUGAGGCACGGACCAGACUCCUACGGGAGGCAGCAGUGAGGAAUAUUGGACAAUGGACGAAAGUCUGAUCCAGCUAUGCCGCGUGCAGGAUGACGGCCCUAUGGGUUGUAAACUGCUUUUAUACAGGAAGAAAAAAUCCGACGUGUCGGAUCUUGACGGUACUGUAAGAAUAAGGAUCGGCUAACUCCGUGCCAGCAGCCGCGGUAAUACGGAGGAUCCAAGCGUUAUCCGGAAUCAUUGGGUUUAAAGGGUCCGCAGGCGGUUUUUUAAGUCAGAGGUGAAAUCCUACAGCUCAACUGUAGAAUUGCCUUUGAUACUGAAAGACUUGAGUU